rnacentral:sRNA from 1 species
CCGAGGAGGAACGCAACGGGCUUUGCCCGUUUCGGAAUGCGUUCCUCCGACGUGCCCCAGAGCGAACGCGAAAGGGUGAUACCCGCG